GAUGAACGCUGGCGGCGUGCUUAACACAUGCAAGUCGAACGGUGAAGGCGGAGCUUGCUCUGCUGGAUCAGUGGCGAACGGGUGAGUAACACGUGAGCAAUCUGCCCCUGACUCUGGGAUAAGCGCUGGAAACGGCGUCUAAUACUGGAUACGAGCUGCGAAGGCAUCUUCAGCAGCUGGAAAGAAUUUCGGUCAGGGAUGAGCUCGCGGCCUAUCAGCUUGUUGGUGAGGUAAUGGCUCACCAAGGCGUCGACGGGUAGCCGGCCUGAGAGGGUGACCGGCCACACUGGGACUGAGACACGGCCCAGACUCCUACGGGAGGCAGCAGUGGGGAAUAUUGCACAAUGGGCGGAAGCCUGAUGCAGAAACGCCGCGUGAGGGAAGAAGGCCUUCGGGUUGUAAACCUCUUUUAGCAGGGAAGAAGCGAAAGUGACGGUACCUGCAGAAAAAGCGCCGGCUAACUACGUG
rnacentral:rRNA from 1 species